UACGGAGGGGGCUAGCGUUGUUCGGAAUUACUGGGCGUAAAGCGCACGUAGGCGGCUUUGUAAGUUAGAGGUGAAAGCCCAGGGCUUAACCCUGGAAUUGCCUUUAAGACUGCAUCGCUAGAAUUGUGGAGAGGUAAGUGGAAUUCCGAGUGUAGAGGUGAAAUUCGUAGAUAUUCGGAAGAACGCCAGUGGCGAAGGCGACUUACUGGACACAUAUUGACGCUGAGGUGCGAAAGCGUGGGGAGCAAACAGG
rnacentral:rRNA from 1 species